rnacentral:SRP_RNA from 1 species
GCCAGGCCCGGUGGUGCACGCCUGUAGUCCCAGCUACUCGAGAGGCUGAGGUGGGAGGAUCGCUUGAGUCCAGGAGUUCUGGACUGUAGUGCGCUAUGCCCAUCGGGUGUCCGCACUAAGUUCGGCAUCAAUAUGGUGACCUCCCGGGAGCGGGGAACCACCAGGUUGCCUAAGGAGGGGUGAACCGGCCCAGUCGGAAACGGAGCAGGUCAAAACUCCUGUGCUGAUCAGAUUCAAUGCAAUUCCAAUUAAAAUUCCAAUGACUUACCUCACAGAAAUAGAGCAAGCAAUCAUGAAAUUCAU